UACAGAGGUCUCAAGCGUUGUUCGGAUUCAUUGGGCGUAAAGGGUGUGUAGGUGGCGCCGUAAGUCGGGUGUGAAAUUUCGGAGCUUAACUCCGAAACUGCAUUCGAUACUGCGGUGCUUGAGGACUGGAGAGGAGACUGGAAUUCAUGGUGUAGCAGUGAAAUGCGUAGAGAUCAUGAGGAAGACCAGUGGCGAAGGCGACUUCCUGGCCUGUUCUUGACGCUGAGGCGCGAAAGCUAGGGUAGCAAACGGG
rnacentral:rRNA from 1 species